rnacentral:rRNA from 1 species
CCGUAGGGUGCAAGCGUUAAUCGGAAUUACUGGGCGUAAAGCGUGCGCAGGCGGUGAUGUAAGACAGUUGUGAAAUCCCCGGGCUCAACCUGGGAACUGCAUCUGUGACUGCAUUGCUGGAGUGCGGCAGAGGGGGAUGGAAUUCCGCGUGUAGCAGUGAAAUGCGUAGAUAUGCGGAGGAACACCGAUGGCGAAGGCAAUCCCCUGGGCCUGCACUGACGCUCAUGCACGAAAGCGUGGGGAGCAAACAGGAUUAGAUACCCUGGUAGUCCACGCCCUAAACGAUGUCAACUGGUUGUUGGGUCUUCACUGACUCAGUAACGAAGCUAACGCGUGAAGUUGACCGCCUGGGGAGUACGGCCGCAAGGUUG